UGAGAAGAUUUGGAGGUCCAUAGGCAUAUU
rnacentral:piRNA from 1 species